rnacentral:rRNA from 1 species
GUGAGUCAUCGAAUCUUUGAACGCACCUUGCGCUCCUUGGUAUUCCGAGGAGCAUGCCUGUUUGAGUGUCAUUAAAAUCAUCAAUCUGUUUAUAUUUGCAUAUGAACAGACUUGGAUGUGGAGGCUUUUGCAGGCUUGUCAAAAGCUUGCUCCUCUCAAAUGCAUUAGCUGGGACCACUUUGUGCCUAACAAAACAGUGUGAUAAUUAUCUAUGCUGUCUUUUGUUUUUUUUGGGAUAAUGUCCUGCUUCCAACUGUCUGAAUGCUUGGACAACUUUUGACAACUUGACCUCAAAUCAGGUAGGACUACCCGCUGAACUUAAGCAUAUCAAUAAGCGGAGG